UACGUAGGGUGCGAGCGUUACUCGGAAUUACUGGGCGUAAAGCGUGCGCAGGCGGUUCGUUAUGUCCGUUGUGAAAGCCCCGGGCUCAACCUGGGAAUGGCAAUGGAAACUGGCGGGCUAGAGUGUGGCAGAGGGGGGUGGAAUUCCGCGUGUAGCAGUGAAAUGCGUAGAUAUGCGGAGGAACACCGAUGGCGAAGGCAAUCCCCUGGACCUGUACUGACGCUCAUGCACGAAAGCGUGGGGAGCAAACAGG
rnacentral:rRNA from 1 species